GUUCUGGCUCAGCGGUAGAGUGCUUGCCUGGCAUGUGUGAGGCCCUGAGUUUGAUUCUCAAUACAGAAUA
rnacentral:tRNA from 1 species